rnacentral:rRNA from 1 species
AGGACGAACGCUGGCGGCGUGCUUAACACAUGCAAGUCGAGCGGAAAGGCCCUUCGGGGUACUCGAGCGGCGAACGGGUGAGUAACACGUGAGCAACCUGCCCUUGGCUCUGGGAUAGCCUCCGGAAACGGGGAUUAAUACCGGACAUUCACUUUCUCCUGCAUGGGGGUUGGUGGAAAGUUUUUUCGGCCAGGGAGGGGCUCGCGGCCUAUCAGCUUGUUGGCGGGGUAACGGCCCACCAAGGCGACGACGGGUAGCCGGCCUGAGAGGGCGAUCGGCCACACUGGGACUGAGACACGGCCCAGACUCCUACGGGAGGCAGCAGUGGGGAAUAUUGCACAAUGGGCGCAAGCCUGAUGCAGCGACGCCGCGUGGGGGAUGAAGGCCUUCGGGUUGUAAACCCUUUCACCAGGAGCGAAUUCAGACGGUACCUGGGGAAGAGCGCCGGCUAACUACGUGCCAGCAGCCGC